rnacentral:rRNA from 1 species
CAGAGUAUCAAUUGGAGGGCAAGUCUGGUGCCAGCAGCCGCGGUAAUUCCAGCUCCAAUAGCGUAUAUUAAAGUUGUUGCAGUUAAGAAGCUCGUAGUUGAAUUUCUGCCUUGUCAUUAAUCUCGCUUCCGAGCGUUUUUUUAUUGACUUGGCAUCUUCUGGAUUUGGUGCCUUCGGGUACUAUUUUCCAGGAUUUACUUUGAGAAAACUAGAGUGUUUCAAACAGGCAUUCGCCUUGAAUACUACAGCAUGGAAUAAUGAAGUAGGACUUUGGUUCUAUUUUGUUGGUUAUUGAGCCAGAGUAAUGGUUAAUAGGAGCAGUUGGGGGCAUUCGUAUUUAACUGUCAGAGGUGAAAUUCUUAGAUUUGUUAAAGACGAACUACUGCGAAAGCAUUUGCCAAGGAUGUUUUCAUUAAUCAAGAACGAAAGUUAGGGGAUCGAAGACGAUCAGAUACCGUCGUAGUCC